GGCAGUGGGGCACCCGCUCACGCCGCCGGUCUUCACGCCGCUCCUCCUCUGGCUCCUAGGCAGAGGGGCGCUUUUUCUUCUCGCGCGGCUUGGGAGUUGGGGGUUAGUGGACGAGGCCGGCGAGUCGGGGAAGCUGUCCAUGUCCAUGAGGCGGAGAGGGAGCAGCCGUCGACACAACAACGAGGCACCGCGGGUGUCCUCCUCCGCCUUCUCCCGACUCCUCGACGCCACCGCCGACCGCGGCCUUUCCGAGCUUGCCGUCUGCCUGCACCGCAACGGGUUCCUUCCCAAGAACCUCCUCUCCAUCCGCUCCCUCACCGUGGUCUCACUCAACUCAUGCGGGUUGCCUCGCCGGUUAUGGAGGAACGGCAGGUGGGCCACUCAAGCUGUGCGGGCUGCCAGUGGCAACCCUUCAAAUCACUCAAACUCACACUUGAUCGGAGGUGGAAGAUGAUGAACAGUGAAAACACCAGCUGUUUGAUGCAGGAAUUUUUGGUGCCGCGUAGAACGUUGCAGCGUUUUUUUGGGGUUUACUUCACUUCUAUAAAGCAAAUUACAUGCAAACUAAAAUCAACUGAAAAACUGGGAGUGCCAUAGUGGCCUCCGU
rnacentral:lncRNA from 1 species